rnacentral:rRNA from 1 species
AACGUAGGAGGCAAGCGUUAUCCGGAUUUACUGGGCGUAAAGCGCGCGUAGGCGGCUUUGCAAGUCGGGUGUGAAAUCCCCAGGCUUAACCUGGGAACUGCAUUCGAGACUGCAUUGCUAGAGUAUGGGAGAGGGAAGUGGAAUUUCCGGUGUAGCGGUGAAAUGCGUAGAUAUCGGAAGGAACAUCAGUGGCGAAAGCGACUUCCUGGACCAAUACUGACGCUCAUGUGCGAAAGCGUGGGGAGCAAACAGG